GGCACAACGGUAGUGCGUCUGACUCCAGAUCAGAAGUUUAAGUGUUCAAAUCACGU
rnacentral:tRNA from 1 species